UUUUUUUUUUUAAUUAUUGUUUAAACCUUCUUAAUCCAUUAGAAGAUUUGGAUUAUAUUAUUGAUGUUGAAUAAUAACAUUUGAUAUUUAUUUCGGGUGAUAACUCGAAUCGGUUUUAAUUCGGUAUAGUUUAUUUGGAUUGGGUUUGGUAUCGGGUUUGACACAGUAAACCAAAGAUAAACCAUAAAAUUUGAAUAUAUGAAGACCAAGGAUUCGAACUUUCGAUUUAGGGAGAAAUUGGACAUUAACUUUUAUUUUGUGGGGACUGAAAUAGAGGUUCGAAUUCGGUGUAGUUGUUGUGCAAUAUGAAACUUUCUGGGGGGGCCACAUGUCGUUCACCCAAUCAUUUAUUCUCCUCAAUUACUCAUUAAGGAGAUAAGGGUAAUUGCACACUCUUGAGUGGUACUUUAAAUAAUUAGUAGCACGCCAAAAUUGUUUUCCAGUUUUUGUGUCAAAAUAGAUUGGUUUUCGGACCGUACCUUGCAAUGUCCUAACCACACUAAAAUAGACAUAUGCUAAAAAUAUUAUGCGGUUUGCUAAAAGUUGAACCACACUUCCCUUUUUGAUUUUUAUUAUAAUUGAUUAUCAGAAAAGAUAAAAGGCAAAGUAGUGAUGAAUGGUAAGAAAAAUUAAAAGCACACCUAGCUGUUUACGGAACGCGCUGCACAUUCAGACCCUUAAUCUAAACCUACCAAGCAUUCAAUGAAAAGAGAACAAAUCAGUCAUGCAUUUACAAGAGAGAAAUCAAUCACACAAAUCAAUCACAAAGACUUUCAGCUAAAUUAAACCAUGAUCAACAAACUAGUUAACAUGCAUUUAUCAUAAUUCAAAAAUAGAUAUCAUUCUAUGAUGUAAUGCUAUCACAAUUCAUGAUACCAAAUCAGAUAAACAAAAUAACAAUGAAAAACACUUAACUUUUUGUAUAGCUUCAAAUGUAAACGUUUGAAUAUCUCUCAAAGAGAUAAUUGUAUUUUUUGCAUCUCUAGAUGAAGCUUCAUUAUCUCUUCUAUGUGGUUGUUUAGAAACUCUGGUGGUCCUGAAAUCUUCAAAAUUCAAGAGAGCAAAGACUCAUUCAUUUGUAAGAGAAGAUUGAGACAUAUUUUAAUGCUACCUAAUCUGAACUUGCAAAAUUCAAGAGCUUACAUCAUCAAUGCUACCUAAACUAAACCAUACGCAACAGACUAAUUAACAUGCAUUUAUCACAAUUCAAUAACAUAUAACAUUCAAUGAUGUAAUGCUAUUACAAUUCAUGUUACCAAAUCAGAGAAACAAAUCAUAUAUAUGAAAGUUGGUCAACGCUCUCCAUAUGAUUGCCACAUCAUCACACAAGAAAAUUACAUAUGUCAUUCUACAUUAUUUAACAAAAAGUUUAGCAUAACUAAUUGAGGGAAAAUGAAAAGUCUUCUAUUGUGUUAAAUCUUCCAUUAAUAUCACUUUUAACUACCUUUUUAAAACUUUAAAAAAUACAAAAUCAUGCUCAAGUACCAAACACUACUUUACAACUUAUCAUAUGACAUUUUUAUUUUUUAUUUUUGUGUCUAAUAGUAAAUUGGUAACAAAAAGUUUUUUUCAUGUAAUGAACCUUUGAGACAUUAGACAUACCAAAAAGUUAAAAAUACGAGACUUUUUAGCUAUAUGGAAAGAGAGAAAUCUAAAGUGUUUAAUUAAAUUACUAGCAUAUAAUGAUAUGGUUGGAACAAAGAAUUUUUUGUUUAAUAUGAAGUUAGACAAGUUUUAAACCACGCAAGUAAGAUAAUUACAUGCUAUUGUAUCAAUAUAUUUUAUAUUGUUGUUGUAUGUAUCCAUGAUAGUGAAAAGAUUAGGAUCUUAGGUCUAUAAAUAAUCAGAUCAGAUAUAUAUAUGAGAAAAGUAUAAUUGAUGGUUCGAGUUAAAGAUGAAUCUAACCAUUACAAUUAUAACUAUAUAUAUAUAUAAAUAAGACAAAUAAAAACAUAUAAAAAUUAAAUCAAAGAACUAAGAAUCUUGAACAACAACCAAAAAGCUAUUCAAGCUCAUUGGUUUUUCUUAUAUACUAAUAUAGCUGAACUUUUAAAAAAUAAUUACAAGUCAUAAUUAUGUUUCAAAAAUAAUGCAUUUAAAUUUAUUUAUAUGAAAAGAUAUUAUAUAAAAUAGUAACACAUAAACCCGCACUACGUGCGGGUAUUCAUCUAGUUAACAAUGAAAAACACUUAGCUUUUUCUAUAGCUUCAAAUGUAAACGUUUGAAUAUCUCUCAAAGAGAUAAUUGCAUGUUCUGCAUCUUUAGUUGAAGCUUCAUUAUCUGCUUCUAUGUGGUUGUUUAGAAACUCUGGUGACACUGAAAUCUGCAAAAAUUCAAUAGAUCAAAGAAUCAUUCACUAUAAGCUUUUCGAGUAAGAAGUAAAGUUCAAUAGAAGCAAAAUUCAAUAGAAGCAAAGAAUCAUUCACUCCAAACCAACAGACACUGAAUUCUGAUUAAAAGAUAUUUAUAUUAAUCAACCACCAACCCUAACCUAGUCUCAGGAGUCCUAACCCUAAAUUCCGAUCACAUAAAAUCCAUAGAUCCAUUCAAUUUUACAGCGAAUCUCCUCAACGAAAACGACAACUAGAUGAAUUGAGCUGAUUAAGAAAAAAUUGAUUUGAGAGAAAACGUCGUGCUGAAAAAAGGCCGUAAUUUUAAGCGGAGGAAGCAGAUGCAGAUAAAUCAAACACAAUCAAAGUUUUUUUAGCUGCAAGCUCAUGAAACACAUCUAAUUUCACCGAUUCAACUUAAUCCACCGGUGAUGAAGACAUGGCGAGAUUUGAUGGGGAUCGUGACAGAUCGAGACUUGACGGAUCACAGAUCUUGUGGAUCAUGAUAAGAUGAUGAGAAGAGAGAGAUGAUGAAAAGAGAGAUGAUGAAGAGAGUUCAUUUGUCGAGUUUCAGAAAAAUCAAGGGAAGAAAGAGGAGAGAAAAAGAAAUCGAUUUGCGAAUAAAAGGAAAAAAAAA
rnacentral:sRNA from 1 species